UUAAAUUGAAGAGUUUGAUCAUGGCUCAGAUUGAACGCUGGCGGCAGGCCUAACACAUGCAAGUCGAGCGGAAACGACACUAACAAUCCUUCGGGUGCGUUAAUGGGCGUCGAGCGGCGGACGGGUGAGUAAUGCCUAGGAAAUUGCCUUGAUGUGGGGGAUAACCAUUGGAAACGAUGGCUAAU
rnacentral:rRNA from 1 species